GAGGAAUAUUGGUCAAUGGGGGCAACCCUGAACCAGCCAAGUCGCGUGAAGGAUGAAGGUCUUAUGGAUUGUAAACUUCUUUUACACGGGAAUAAAGUGGGGGACGCGUCCCCCUUUGCAUGUACCGUGUGAAUAAGGAUCGGCUAACUCCGUGCCAGCAGCCGCGGUAAUACGGAGGAUCCGAGCGUUAUCCGGAUUUAUUGGGUUUAAAGGGUGCGCAGGCGGGAUGUUAAGUCGGCGGUGAAAUUUUGCAGCUCAACUGUAAAAGUGCCUUCGAUACUGGCCUCCUUGAGUGUGGAUGAAGUAGGCGGAAUUUGUGGUGUAGCGGUGAAAUGCUUAGAUAUCACGAGGAACUCCGAUUGCGCAGGCAGCUUACUAAGCCACAACUGACGCUCAUGCACGAAGGCGUGGGGAACAAACA
rnacentral:rRNA from 1 species